rnacentral:rRNA from 1 species
GUCUGCAACCCGACUCCAUGAAGCUGGAUUCGCUAGUAAUCGCGCAUCAGCCACGGCGCGGUGAAUACGUUCCCGGGCCUUGUACACACCGCCCGUCAAGCCAUGGAAGCCGGGAGUGCCUGAAGUGCGUGACCGCAAGGAGCGCCCUAAGGCAAUACCGGUGACUGGGGCUAAGUCGUAACAAGGUAAC